UACGUAGGGAGCAAGCGUUGUCCGGAGUUACUGGGCGUAAAGGGCGCGUAGGCGGUUUUUUAAGUUUGGUGUGAAAUCUCCCGGCUCAACCGGGAGGGUGCGCCGAAUACUGAGAGGCUAGAGUGUGGGAGAGGAAAGUGGAAUUCCUGGUGUAGCGGUGAAAUGCGUAGAUAUCAGGAGGAACACCGGUGGUGUAAACGGCUUUCUGGACCAUAACUGACGCUGAGGCACGAAAGCGUGGGUAGCAAACAGG
rnacentral:rRNA from 1 species